rnacentral:Y_RNA from 1 species
GACUGGUUCAAGUGGUGUUUACAACUAAUUGAUCACAACCAGUUACAGAUUUCUUUGUUCCCUCUCCACUCUCACUGCUUCACUUGACUAGCCUUAA